CGGCCCAGGGCUGGUAGCCGUAGUAGCCGGUGAUGCGGAGGAUCCUCUCCUCGAUGGAGGUGAGCCCCACGGAAGCGCUGGUGAGGUCCUCCACGGAGCGGGACCACUUCAAGUCCUCUUUGAUGGCCUCGUCCACCACCAGUAGGAGAACUCCACGUCUACCAGUAGAUGCAUCUCACCUAGGAGUAUGAAGUAAGGCAGAA
rnacentral:lncRNA from 1 species